GCACUGAUGCUCGAGCGGUCAAGAGGUUGGACUUGAAAUCCAAUACCGGAAACGGUGCGCAGGUUCGAAUCCUGUUCAGUGCG
rnacentral:tRNA from 1 species